rnacentral:rRNA from 1 species
AUUGAACGCUGGCGGCAUGCCUUACACAUGCAAGUCGAACGGUAACAGGUCUUCGGACGCUGACGAGUGGUGAACGGGUGAGUAAUACAUCGGAACGUGCCUAGUAGUGGGGGAUAACUACUCGAAAGAGUGGCUAAUACCGCAUGAGAUCUACGGAUGAAAGCAGGGGAUCGCAAGACCUUGUGCUACUAGAGCGGCCGAUGGCAGAUUAGGUAGUUGGUGGGAUAAAAGCUUACCAAGCCGACGAUCUGUAGCUGGUCUGAGAGGACGAUCAGCCACACUGGGACUGAGACACGGCCCAGACUCCUACGGGAGGCAGCAGUGGGGAAUUUUGGACAAUGGGCGCAAGCCUGAUCCAGCAAUGCCGCGUGCAGGAUGAAGGCCUUCGGGUUGUAAACUGCUUUUGUACGGAACGAAAAGCCCUGGGUUAAUACCCUGGGGUCAUGACGGUACCGUAAGAAUAAGCACCGGCUAACUACGUGCCAGCCGCCGCAGUAACAC